rnacentral:rRNA from 1 species
AGCGAGCUGAAUUCAAAGAUUCCUUCGGGAUGAUUUGUUGGACGCUAGCGGCGGAUGGGUGAGUAACACGUGGGCAAUCUGCCCUAAAGACUGGGAUACCACUUGGAAACAGGUGCUAAUACCGGAUAACAACAUGAAUCGCAUGAUUCAAGUUUGAAAGGCGGCGUAAGCUGUCACUUUAGGAUGAGCCCGCGGCGCAUUAGCUAGUUGGUGGGGUAAAGGCCUACCAAGGCAAUGAUGCGUAGCCGAGUUGAGAGACUGAUCGGCCACAUUGGGACUGAGACACGGCCCAAACUCCUACGGGAGGCAGCAGUAGGGAAUCUUCCACAAUGGACGCAAGUCUGAUGGAGCAACGCCGCGUGAGUGAAGAAGGUUUUCGGAUCGUAAAGCUCUGUUGUUGGUGAAGAAGGAUAGAGGCAGUAACUGGUCUUUAUUUGACGGUAAUCAACCAGAAAGUCACGGCUAACUACGUGCCAGCAGCCGCGGUAAUACGUAGGUGGCAAGCGUUGUCCGGAUUUAUUGGGCGUAAAGCGAGCGCAGGCGGAAUGAUAAGUCUGAUGUGAAAGCCCACGGCUCAACCGUGGAACUGCAUCGGAAACUGUCAUUCUUGAGUGCAGAA